AUGAACGCUGACAGAAUGCUUAACACAUGCAAGUCUUUGGCGAAGCUGUGCUUGCACAGCCUAGCCAAGGCGGACGGGUGAGUAACGCGUAAGGAACUUGCCCUGCAGUCAGGGAUAACAGACGGAAACGACUGAUAAGACCUGGUAAAGUCAGGCGGACUCAUGUCCAGCCUGAUGAAAAGAGAUGCUGCAGGAGAGCCUUGCGUCCUAUUAGCUUGUUGGUGGGGUAACGGCCCACCAAGGCGAUGAUAGGUAGCCGGCCUGAGAGGGUGGACGGCCACAAGGGGACUGAGAUACGGCCCUUACUCCUACGUGAGGCAGCAGUGGGGAAUAUUGGACAAUGGGGGCAACCCUGAUCCAGCAAUUCUGUGUGAACGAUGAAGGUUUUCGGAUUGUAAAGUGCUUUCAGCAGGGAAGAAAAAAAUGACGGUACCUGCAGAAGAAGCGACGGCUAAAUACGUG
rnacentral:rRNA from 1 species